UUUGUCGUACAAUUUAACAAAAAAUAUCCACCAUGAUUGCAAGAAGGAAACUCUCUGUUUGGGCAUCAAAUCAAUUGCAACUGGACUUGUGAUUGUCCUAAUGAUCCUAACUUGUCUGCAAAUUUUAAUUUCACUUCCUCUCUCCAUGCUCAGUUAUAAUGUGGAUGACGAGAAUAUUCACUGGAUUUAUGUAUUGCUUUGCUGGAAAUCACCUUCUGAAGGUCUUUAUCAAGACUUGUUGCCUCAAACUAUAAUCUAUCGAGAACUUGAACGCAAAGAAGAUACACCUUCACAUUAUCCCACAGAUACUAACAAACAAAUAUGAGGCUGCACCUCUGUAUUUUGGAUCCACAGUGAUAGCAAGAAGCUCAUACUGUGGCCACUGAGGCAUGAAUACACACCUGUGAAGAUACAUAAGCAUAGAGUUCAGGGUCACAAAGAGAGCAACUAGCAUUUAUAACAUUGAGAUUUUGGUUGUUGCCCCUUUUUUUGUUAUGGUUGGUUGUCAUCACAGACUAGGUUUAUGCUCUGUUACAAAACUUAACCUUGAAAUAUCGGUGGCUUAACACA
rnacentral:lncRNA from 1 species